UGGAGGAGGUGUAGGAGCUAGUGGCGGUGCACGAGUAGGUGUAGGAGCGGGUGGAGGUGGAGGGGCAGGUACUAGUAGUACAAGAGGAAGUGGGCCACAAAUUUAAAGUUGGUAUAUGUGGAGAGGUAUUGGCUUCAAUUAUGUACUAGAGAGCCUGCUUAAAAAAAUAUAUGUACUAGGGAUGGUUGUACAAUUGAAUGAAUAAAUGGUGAAAUUGUUGUAGAUAAAGCUUGAAAAUAAAAGUGAUUUAGCGAUAUUGUAAGUUGUCAAGUAUUAGAGGUAUCUUUAACUUCUAUAGUUCUUUUGUUGUUGAAAGAAUUAACUUCUAUAGUUGAAGUCUCUAUAUUGUGAUGGAAACAUCACAUGCUAUUGUAAUAGAAACAUCAUGCUUGAUGUAAAACAAUAUCAAUAAUUACGAGAUGUUAC
rnacentral:lncRNA from 1 species